AUUGAACGCUGGCGGCAGGCCUUACACAUGCAAGUCGAACGUGAAAGCUCUUCGGAGUGAGUAGAGUGGCGGACGGGUGAGUAACGCGUAGGAAUCUACCUGGUAGUGGGGGACAACCUGGUGAAAACCAGGCUAAUACCGCAUACGCCCUAUGGGGGAAAGCGGGGGAUCUGUUUACAGACCUCGUGCUAUUAGAUGAGCCUGCGUAAGAUUAGCUAGUUGGUGGGGUAAAGGCCCACCAAGGCGACGAUCUUUAGCUGGUCUGAGAGGAUGAUCAGCCACACUGGGACUGAGACACGGCCCAGACUCCUACGGGAGGCAGCAGUGGGGAAUAUUGCGCAAUGGGCGAAAGCCUGACGCAGCCAUGCCGCGUGUGUGAAGAAGGCCUUAGGGUUGUAAAGCACUUUCAGCGGGGAGGAAAAGUUGGUAGUUAAUAAGUGCCAACCGUGACGUUACCCGCACAAGAAGCACCGCUAACU
rnacentral:rRNA from 1 species